AGAGUUCUGGGCCGCACGCGCGUUACACUGACAGAAGCCAGCGAGUUCUUCCUUGACCGAAAGGUCCGGGUAAUCUUGUUAAACUCUGUCGUGCUGGGGAUAGAGCAUUGCAAUUAUUGCUCUUCAACGAGGAAUCCCUAGUAGGCGUAAGUCAUCAACUUGCGCCGAUUACGUCCCUGCCCUUUGUACACACCGCCCGUCGCUACUACCGAUUGAAUGGCUCAGUGAGGCUUCCGGACUGGCCCAGAGAGGUGGGCAACUACCACUCAGGGCCGGAAAGUUAUCCAAACUCGGUCAUUUAGAGGAAGUAAAAGUCGUAACAAGGUCUCCGUUGGUGAACCAGCGGAGGGAUCAUUAAAGAGUUGCAAAACUCCCAAACCAUAUGUUUAUCUACCUGUUUCGUUGCUUCGGCAGGCGGCUCUUCGGGGCCUUCGCCCUCUGGGUGCCUGCCGGAGUAUCCAAAACUCUUGUUAAUUACUGUUCUGUCUGAGUAAACUUUUAAUAGUUAAAACUUUCAACAACGGAUCUCUUGGUUCUGGCAUCGAUGAAGAACGCAGCGAAAUGCGAUAAGUAAUGUGAAUUGCAGAAUUCAGUGAAUCAUCGAAUCUUUGAACGCACAUUGCGCCCAUUAGUAUUCUAGUGGGCAUGCCUGUUCGAGCGUCAUUUCAACCCUCAAGCACUGCUUGGUGUUGGGGCGUCUGCAGCUCCGGCUGCAGGCCCUGAAAAACAGUGGCGGGCUCGCUAUAACUCCGAGCGUAGUAAUCUCUCUCGCUUUGGAAGUGUGGCGGUUCCCGGCCGUUAAACCCCCAAUUUCUGAAUGUUGACCUCGGAUCAGGUAGGAAUACCCGCUGAACUUAGCAUAUCAAUAAGCGGAGGAAAAGAAACCACAGGGAUGGCCUAAUAACGGCGAGUGGAACGGCACCGCUCAAAUUGAAACUGGCUUCCGCCCCAGUUGAAUUUGAAAGGAAGCUUUUGGGGGGGGCCUCGAGUCCCGGGACGGGAGCCU
rnacentral:rRNA from 1 species